rnacentral:rRNA from 1 species
UACGUAGGGUGCAAGCGUUAAUCGGAAUUACUGGGCGUAGAGCGUGCGCAGGCGGUUAUGUAAGACAGAUGUGAAAUCCCCGGGCUCAACCUGGGAACUGCAUUUGUGACUGCAUAGCUAGAGUACGGUAGAGGGGGAUGGAAUUCCGCGUGUAGCAGUGAAAUGCGUAGAGUAUGCGGAGGAACACCGAUGGCGAAGGCACUCCCUGGACUGAUACUGACGCUCAUGCACGAAAGCGUGGGGAGCAAACAGGAUUA